UGAAAAUGUGCUUGGUGAGAAUAAAACCUU
rnacentral:piRNA from 1 species